CUAAGCAUGAAGCCCCCCUCAAGAUGAGAUUUCCCAUAGCGUAAGCUAGUAAGAUCCCUGAAAGAUGAUCAGGUUGAUAGGUUCGAGGUGGAAGCAUGGUGACAUGUGGAGCUGACGAAUACUAAUAGAUCGAGGACUUAACCA
rnacentral:rRNA from 2 species